rnacentral:rRNA from 1 species
CAAAUUUGAAAGCUGUUGCCUUUGGUAACCGCAUUGUAAUCUCGAGAUCUGUUUUCCGCGCUGGACCAUGUACAAGUCCCUUGGAAUAGGGCGUCAUAGAGGGUGAGAAUCCCGUACUUGACAUGGCCUCCCAGUGCUUUGUGAUACAGGCUCAACGAGUCGAGUUGUUUGGGAAUGCAGCUCAAAAUGGGUGGUAAAUUCCAUCUAAAGCUAAAUAUUGGGGAGAGACCGAUAGCGAACAAGUACCGUGAGGGAAAGAUGAAAAGCACUUUGGAAAGAGAGUUAAACAGUACGUGAAAUUGUCAAAAGGGAACCGUUUAAAGUUAGUCAUGCUUGCCUGGACUCAGCCUUGCUUUUGCUUGGUGCAUUUCCAGGUAUGCAGGUCAGCAUCGGUUUUGACUGCUGGAUAAGGGUGAGAGGAAUGUGGCACCCUCGGGUGUGUUAUAGCCUUUCACUGGAUGCAGC